AAAAAGAUGUUAAAUUUCUAACUUACACAUUUUUAAAUGCUAUUAUAAAAUGUAGAUGCAUAUGUUGAAAUAAGUAGAAUUUUGCCUGGUGUCCAGAGGUGUGAAGAAGGGGAGAAGUGCAAAAUAUUAGCAUUGAGUGAAGGAAUGGGCAGCCCCUGUUAAGACUAAAUACUUUCUACAAAAUACAGCAAGAAUAUCAAGAAUCAGUUGGACAGACUGGCCACAGGCGGAUUCUGGAACUCUGCUCCAGGGCUGAUUUGUCGGGCGGGUGCCCAGGAAUCUGCAUGCCGCUGGUCCUCAAACACUCUGAGAAGGAAGGCAGUGAGAGUGGGCCUGGCCGGCAGCUGCCACCACCUAUGAAGUGCAGGGCUUUGUGUCCUUGUUCCUUGACAUUGGUAAGUCUAACUUACGUAUUCACUUGUUUGUUUAUUUCCCGGAAAAAAUGUUUCAUUUCCCUCUGCCUCCAGAAUGGGGAGCACAUUUUUACAAAAGAAACCCUGGAUGAGGAUGCUUGGAAAUGUGUUUUGGGGGAGGAAAUUCUCCCUAAUCGUGAGUGAUUAACUAUUUGGCACCCCACAGAAUGUUUUUAUUUUUUAUUUUUUGUGCACCAGGUAGACCCUUGUCUGCUGGGUACUGUUGGAACCUUGAAUUGCUUGUGGGGGCGUUGAGCAAUGUCUUCCAUAACCUUACAUUACUGUAACAUUUUACAUAAUACAUCUUUUUCAGAAAAAGCUUUUCAUAAAAAUGAAUACUCUACAGGUAUUCCACCUACAUGGCCAUCUAAUCUCAUACUCCUGAUGGAUUUUCCUACAGUGUUGCUAGGAGACCAAGAAACUUCUUAACAUAAGAUGCAGAGUGUAUCAACCAUGUGGAUACCUGCUCUCCCAAAUCCAUUUGUUGCAAAUGUGGCUUCCUCAGAAUGGGUGUUUCUAACAAUACAAGUAACUGGGGAAGUUGCUCAGCACACUGACACAGAGGUGCAGUUCUUUUCUGAGCGACAUCGCCAGCUUACUCUUCUGCCCUUUUUAUGCCUAGAGGUGGAAAGGGCUGUGGGGUUUUAUUACAUCUUGGGUCAAAUAUUGUAUUUUGCUCCUGUUCUACUCCAUUUUAGAACUAUAGAUAAGAAAAGAAAGAACUGAAGCAUAAGAGUCAGGGAUUGUUGGAAAGUGGAUUUCUUUCAAUAUCUUCUGAAAUCUGCCACUAUUUUUCUUCAUUUUAGUACCCCUUUGAGGUACAUUAUGUCAGCCAGAGUAGACAAAGAUUUCCUACUGACAUUAGAAUUUAAUCCUAAAGUAGCAAUCUAAUUAGUAAAAAUCACAUCAGCAAUUUUUAAGUUUUAGAAGUUUUGGUGAUGAAUCUCGUUUAUCAUCAAAUGAAGCUGACAGGAAGGUAAAUGUGGAUAGCGGGUCCAAAAUUCUUUUGUAGUCAGAGACAGAAGCUGUCUCCAUGACUAUAAACCAAAACAACUGAGAUUCUGAGAAGCUCAGACAGCCAGUAGUUCAGAAGUAUUUGAUCCAGAAAAAGUGGGCGGCUCCUCCUGAGACCCUAAGCCUCCUGGACUUUAGUGCUCCACCUCAUGUUCCCCCUAAUCUUUCUUCCUUCUUGAUGCUCACCUUUUGAGCAUGCUCCCUUUCCAUAUUGGUCCCCUCCAUCUAGAAUAUGUUCCAACUGUUUAACUUUCACUGGACCUUUAAGAUAUUAGCUCAGUUGUCCCUUUCUCCAGAAUGCCUUCUAUGCAGCCUUCCACCUGUUCCCAGCUGAGGCCCUUACUACACACUGUUAUGCUUGCUGAUAUCAUUUUAAAAAUUUACAACUGCAGAUGAAUGUCAGUCUUCUCCCUUCCUAACUCCAGGAAGGCAAAGGCCAUAUCUAGGUGUGUUCACUGCCGUAGUCACAGAAGCUGCCAUUUAUCAGUGGGUUAUAAAUUUUCAAUGUGUAUUUGCCAGAAUAAAUAACUGAGAUACAGGAUACUGUAUUUUUUUGACACUCUCACUGUGGCUCUCUAAUCUUUCUUAACUUGUCCUCUGUGCUUUCUACCCAUUCUUCUAAGGAACUUCCAGGAAUUCAGUUUUGUUCCUUUUUCUUUCCUCAUACCCCCAGACCCUGAAGUGAUCAUUUACUUCCAAAGCUCAGCCUGCCCUGAUGACUUCCAAAUUCAGUGAUCCAGUCUGCAGUCCUCACUCCACACCUAGUGUUCUGUUCCAUGCUGUAUUUAAGAUACGGCCACAUGGGUGAAAUAGGUGAAAGAGCAGGGGCUUUGUUCUUACAACUCAUAAAUAUUCGGUGUUGUG